UGCAGUCGAGCGGUAGCAGGUCCUUCGGGAUGCUGACGAGCGGCGGACGGGUGAGUAAUGCAUAGGAAUCUGCCCGGUAGUGGGGGAUAACCUGGGGAAACCCAGGCUAAUACCGCAUACGUCCUACGGGAGAAAGGGGGCUUCGGCUCCCGCUAUUGGAUGAGCCUAUGUCGGAUUAGCUAGUUGGUGAGGUAAUGGCUUACCAAGGCAACGAUCCGUAGCUGGUCUGAGAGGAUGAUCAGCCACAUCGGGACUGAGACACGGCCCGAACUCCUACGGGAGGCAGCAGUGGGGAAUAUUGGACAAUGGGGGCAACCCUGAUCCAGCCAUGCCGCGUGUGUGAAGAAGGCCUUCGGGUUGUAAAGCACUUUCAGCGAGGAAGAACGCCUAGCGGUUAAUACCCGCUAGGAAAGACAUCACUCGCAGAAGAAGCACCGGCUAACUCCGUGCCAGCAGCCGCGGUAAUACGGAGGGUGCAAGCGUUAAUCGGAAUUACUGGGCGUAAAGCGCGCGUAGGUGGCUUGAUAAGCCGGUUGUGAAAGCCCCGGGCUCAACCUGGGAACGGCAUCCGGAACUGUCAGGCUAGAGUGCAGGAGAGGAAGGUAGAAUUCCCGGUGUAGCGGUGAAAUGCGUAGAGAUCGGGAGGAAUACCAGUGGCGAAGGCGGCCUUCUGGACUGACACUGACACUGAGGUGCGAAAGCGUGGGUAGCAAACAGGAUUAGAUACCCUGGUAGUCCACGCCGUAAACGAUGUCGACCAGCCGUUGGGUGCCUAGCGCACUUUGUGGCGAAGUUAACGCGAUAAGUCGACCGCCUGGGGAGUACGGCCGCAAGGUUAAAACUCAAAUGAAUUGAC
rnacentral:rRNA from 1 species